GAAUUUCUUAUGGUCAGGGGAGAGUUAUCCCUUCCCUAAUAAAGUACUUGGCGAUGGCUGAUUGUAAGCUCCGAUGGCCACUUGCUGUCUUCUCUAUGUCUGUCCACUCGGCUGAUUAUAAUGUUGCUUAGCUACAGAAGCACCAUUGUAGUGAUUGACUUCUGUUCGGGUGCCACCUCCUGACGCCGGAGCCCGGAGUUGAUAGCAAAGCGGGGAGUGAUGCGGCAAGGGAGGCGGCGCUGGACGGGUGUAGCCUAGUUACUGAGCAGCACCCUCGGUGAUUGGCCCCUGAUCUGACGCCCCCAGCUGACGUUAGAGCCUGGGGCUUACUGCUCGACGAGGGUGGAUGCGGCGCGAGAGGGUGAACGUGACAGAUGUUGCUUAGCUACAGAAGCACCAUUGUAGUGAUUGGCUUCUGUUCGGGUGUCACCUCCUGACGCCGGAGCCCGGAGUUGAUAGCAAAGCGGGGAGUGACGCGGCAAGGGAGGCGGCGCUAGUUACUGAGCAGCACCCUCGGUGAUUGGCCCCUGAUCUGGCGCCCGCAGCCGACAUUAGAGCCUGGCACUUACUGCUCGAUGAGGGUGGAUGCGGCGCGAGAGGGUGAA